UGCAGUCGAGGGGUACAGGGAUUAGUUUACUAAUUUGCUGACGACCGGCGCACGGGUGAGUAACGCGUAUACAAUUUACCUUUUACAGGAGGAUAGCCCAGAGAAAUUUGGAUUAAUACUCCAUGGUAUUAUCGGAUCGCAUGGUUUGAUAAUUAAAGUUUCGGUGGUAGAAGAUGAGUAUGCGUCCUAUUAGCUGGUUGGUAAGGUAACGGCUUACCAAGGCGACGAUAGGUAGGGGUCCUGAGAGGGAGAUCCCCCACACUGGUACUGAGACACGGACCAGACUCCUACGGGAGGCAGCAGUGAGGAAUAUUGGUCAAUGGAGGCAACUCUGAACCAGCCAUGCCGCGUGCAGGAAGACUGCCCUAUGGGUUGUAAACUGCUUUUAUACAGGAAGAAACUUAUCCACGUGUGGAUAACUGACGGUACUGUACGAAUAAGGACCGGCUAACUCCGUGCCAGCAGCCGCGGUAAUACG
rnacentral:rRNA from 1 species